GGUUCUUCAGUGGCUAGGGCUUUAUGGUGCACAAUGCGUUUGACGACGUGUGCGUGGUGAGGGAUUGCCCCUCGAGGAUCGAGAGCGCCAUUGUCACGGAAUCUGGCACCAGAGGUGAAUUCCUCCAUGUCGGCUGCAUCGACGGGAGCCUGCGCAUCUAUUCGCUCCCGGACUCGUCACAAGACGAGGAGGAUCUCGGCGCGGAGCGCAGCAGGAGCUAUGUGCUGCGGCGGACGAUCGUGGGGUUCGCCAAGAAGGCGGUGUCGCAGAUGGAUCUGGUGAAAUCGCGGGGCGGGAUGCUCAUCACUCUCGCCGAGGCAGUGGCCGUCCAUUCGCUACCAGGUUUCGAGCCUGUAGCGUUUCUUGCAAAGACGAAAGGGGCCAAUCUCUUCUGCUGGGACGAGCGAAGAGGAUUGCUGUGCGUUGCCAGGCACAAGAAGCUUCUCAUUUACAGGCACGAUGGAAGCAGGGAUUUCACGGAAGUUAAAGAGAUCUCCAUUCCAGAUGUCGUGAAGUCCAUGGUCUGGUGUGGCGAUUGUGUUUGUCUUGGUGUGAAGCGCGAGUAUGUUUUUGUAAAUGCGGCAACUGGAGCGUCCACGGAUAUCUUUCCUUGCGGUCGAAGUGCCCCACCGCUCGUCGUUUCCUUGCCUCGUGGCGAGCUUCUACUUGGCAAGGACAAUAUUGGAGUAUUCGUAGAUCAAUCGGGGAAAGUAACCCCGCAAACUGCUUUAAGCUGGUCGGAAUCGCCCUCAGCUGUGAUGGUUCAUCCACCAUAUAUCCUUGCUCGGCUUUCAAGAUUUAUAGAGGUAAGAACGCUGAGGGAGCCUUACAGUGUCGUGCAAAUGAUAGCGCACAAAGACAAGCAGCUGCUACAGUCGAGUAGUUUCGGUUUGCUGGCCGCGUCUGAGAACUCUGUCUACAAGCUUGUCCCUGUCGCCAUUGGCGUCCAGGUAGUGCAAUUAGCGGCAUCAGGCAACUUUGAAGAUGCAUUGGCGCUUUGCAAGCUAAUGCCUCCCGAGGAUGCAUCUCUGCGAGCUUCGAAAGAAGAUGCCAUACACAAAAGAUAUGGCCAGUUUCUUUUCAGUCGCGGACAAUAUGUUGAAGCGUUGCAGCACUUCGCACUAUCAUCCAUGAGUCUGCCGUCAAUCAUUGCGUUGUUCCCUUCAGUGAAGCUGCCGGAGUUUUGCGUAUUUGAUGAGUUCAAAGACAUGGAGAACUCGGGGGAGCUAGAGGUGGAUGAAAAUAAUAGCAACUCCGUCUCAACAUCUAUCUCUCUGGCGGCUUUGGCGACCUUCUUGAUGAAUAAACGAGGGGAUGUCAUUGCUAAGGCCGAGGCGAAAGAUACGGACGAGGCACUGGCAGCUUUGUCUGAAACGGGUCACAAGCAUAAUGUUUCCACGAGACUGGAGCCAGACGAUCCACGGAAGAGUGCUGCCGUCUUGGAUACAGCACUUAUCCAAGCGUUGUUGCUUACAAACCAGUCUCCAGUUGCAAUUCAACUUCUUCGAGGCUCAAACUACUGCGACGUAGAUGCGUGCCGAGAAAUGAUGCUUGCUGGAGGCUUUUACAAAGAGCUGCUAGAACUGUAUCAGUUCAAGAAAAUGCAUAAAGAGGCUCUACAACUACUGGCUCGUUUGGUCGAGAACCCCGAGUCAUUUCCAGUUCCACCUCCAAAGGAUGCGUACGGCCCAGAGGCUCUUGUGGAUUACUUGCAGCCUCUCGGGGGACAGGAUCAGACACUUAUCAUGGAAUUGUCGACACUAAUUUUAAAGCUGAGUCCGGACCAGGCCAUGAAGCUGUUUACGUCUACAAAUCCUCCCCUACCUCCAAAGUAUGUGCUGUUGAAGCUGAAGGCACACGCUCCUGAUCUGCAGAUUGUUUACCUUGAGGAAAUGGUGAAGCACAAUCCAGAUUCUUUAUCAGCAGAGUUUCAGAACGAGCUUAUACUACUGUAUUUGUCCAAUGUCCUCGAAGGAAAGCCAGACGACUCAAAAUCUAAAUUAUUGACCGCUCUAGAAACUUUCACCGCUUAUAAUGCUCGAGACAUAUUUCCCCGUUUUCCGGGGGAGGGUUUUUACGAAGAAAAGGCAGUACUUCUGGGACGAAUGGAGUACCACAAACUUACGCUUUCUAUAUAUGUGCACAAGCUUCAUAAUCAAGAAAAGGCGCUAGCGUAUUGUGAUCGUGUCUUUGAUCGUGUUGUUGAAACAGCAUCACAGCCAAUAUUGAAUGCACCCGUCGAUCACAAGGCAGCGGAAUUGUACUCAAAGCUGCUGGAGAUGUACCUUCGGCCCAAAAAGUCCCUCAAAGAACUUAAGCUAGCCCUUGCUAGUUUUGGUGGUCUCAAAUACGAUAUAUCAAGAGCUGAUGGAGCUGAUGGAGCUGGCCUAGUACACAGGCACAAACACAAGGGACACGUUCGACACAAAGUCACUCAGAUUGAAGACGCACUGAGUUUUACGAAUGGCAACGAAAGUGCUACCGAAAGCAAUAAGAGCGACACUGAAGAAAGUGUCGACGUGAGGACGGAGGAUGGAAUUAUGCUGGAAGAAGCCAUUCAUCUACUGAGCAGCAGAUGGGAUCGCUUUCACGGCACCGAAGUCCUGUCGAUGCUACCGUCCGAUGCCAAGCUAAAGGAUCUUCUUUCGUUUUUGGAACCACUGUUGCGGAGGUCCACUGAAAGAAGCCGGAAUGCAGCGGUCAUCGGGCGAGUGGAGUAUAGCGAUCACAUAGAAGUCCGUCAUGAGCUGCUUCAAUGUAGAGCACGGCGAUUCAGACUCACGAACGAGACAUUGUGCUCGAUUUGUCGCAAAAAGAUUGGACCCAGCGUUUUUGCAGUGUAUCCUGGCGGUGCUUUUGCACAUUUUGUUUGUUACUCUCAACACAGAGCUUCUGGAGCGUGAAGUUCUUGUUGGUAUUGUAUCUCUUGUAUAAUGGAUUGAGGUUUGUAAAUAGCUCAUGUUGAGUUGAGAAGCUUCGUCAUGGUGGAGCAUCUCUUCUGAAAAAGAGACAGUAUGUGAAAUUCGUAGUCCCUGGCAUCCAGUCCAAAAGUUUCAAAGGUACCGUGGCCGUGGACAGCAGCGAGAAAUAAACAUGGGAGUUUUCGAGAUGUUUCGGACAACAUGAAGGCUUUCUUCCUGGUAAAAAAAAAACGAAUUUAAUUGCCCAACUUUUUCAAUGCUUGUGAAACGUCAUAAGAAGAUUUUAUUAGCUGUGAUGGGGGUAUUUUCUUCAUCCCAUCACUCCGGAUAUUACAUUUAA